rnacentral:rRNA from 1 species
UGGGGUAUAUUGCACAAUGGAGGGAACUCUGAUGCAGCGACGCCGCGUGAACGAGGAAUGCGUUCGAGUCGUAAAGUUCGCUUAUAUGGGAAGAUAAUGACGGUACCAUAAGAAAAAGCCCCGUCUAACUACGUGCAAGCAGCCGCGGUAAUACGUAGGGGGCGAGCGUUGUCCGGAAGCACUGGGCGUAAAGGGUUCGCAGGCGGAAGUGAAAGUUAGGUGUAAAAGGAAGUAGCUUAACUACUGUAAGCAUUUGAAACUGCAUGUCUUGAAGAGAGUAGAGGUAAGUGGAGUUUUUAGUGUAGCGGUGAAAUGCGUAGAUGUUAAAAAGAAUACCAGUGGCGAAGACGACUUACUGGGCUCAUUCUGACGCUGAGGAACGAAAGCGUGGGUAGCAAACAGG